AGAGCGCGAGCCAGAGCGAGCAAGCAGGGAGGAGUCUGCAUGGGAGGCGCUUGCAGGGCUCCCCCACUUCUGCGCUGACAGCCGGGGCACAAAGAGCCCUCUGCACUCCAGCUGCGGGACCGUGCGCCCCAGG
rnacentral:sRNA from 1 species